CAGCCAAAAUUUUCAGGGAGCUGAACUUUACUCUGGUCUAUAGAGCUGUAGUCUUAAGAGAAUUUGCUAACAGAGAAAAUCUCUAUUUCUGUCUUAUAGAUUAGAGUAACUAAAAGCCCUAACUUUCUGGAGGGAAGAUACAAGUAUUUUUUUAGGAGUUCCCAGUACCAGAAACCACUUGCAAGAUCAUGUAGAGAGUCUGAGAUGAAGAGGAGAAAAAGAAAAAAAUUAUUUGAAGAAAUAAUGGCUGGAAACUUCAUAAAUUUGGCAAAAGACAAAAACCCGCUGAGUUAAUAAGCCCAGCAAACUCCGAACAGGAUAAAUCCAAAGAAAUGACUGCCCAGAGACAGCAUAAAGAGCUUGCAAACUAAAUGCAAAGAAAAAAAAUUGAAAGCAGCCAGAGGAAAAAAAUGAAUUACUUACAGGAAACAACAAUUAGUUGACUGUGCAUUGUUCACCAGAAAUCAUGAAGGCCAAGGGCUAAGAGCACCAAUGGGAAAAGGACAGUCUCUUCAAUAAAUGUGGGAAAACUAGGUAUCCACACAUGGAAGGGUAAAACUGGUGUUUACCCUUGUCUCACACGGUGUGCAAAAAUUAGCUCAAUUUAAAAAUGAGACCUGAAGCUGUAAAACUAUUAAAAGAGAAAAUAGAG
rnacentral:lncRNA from 1 species